AUCAGACAAUUUGAUUCACUGGCAACUGGAAAGAUUUCAUUGGCUAGUUUGAAAAGCAAAUACAUUGGCCCCGCCCCCGCAACGUUUCUCAGGAACGAACAAGACCUCCUGUGACUGGCAGCAGGGCAGCAGGAUGAGGACCAACAGUUGAAAUAUUCAAUGAGAAAUAAGAGGAAGAAACAGAGGAAAGAAGACAAGGAACGAUGAGGGUACCAGGGUAGCAGGGUCGUGGGGGAAAACCUGAAGCAAGAAUCUUAUGACUCCCCUGAUCGCCACUGUCCUGCUCCUCUUGGUCUGAUGAAGUCAGAGAGGAGGACCGCUGCUGGAUGUGCAUUUGCGCUAAACCCAGGAUGUGGAUGAUGAGGACGCCUACAAACACAUCCAAAUUGGAAUCUUCGUUAUUCAUCAUGAUGGUGUUGCACUACAAUCCCCUAAAACACAUCCUUAUGGACAUUUUGUGAUGGGCAAUAUCAAAAACUUGCUCCAGGCAAUGUGCCUACCCGAUGGCUUGACGUGCACUUCACCUGAACUACCCAAAAUGCAUGGUAAACACAUUCCGGUUCAUUCAACAGGUUUUUCUUGGGUUUGGAGAAAAAGGAGUUGAAGGCCAAAUUGCUCUCUUUGACUAAUAAGCUGGCCAUGUAAGGUCACUUCAGAUUAGUAUUUUACAUUUCCCACUAUGUUUUCAGAUGGAUUGGUCU